GUCUCGGUGGUGUAGUGGUAGAGCACACGUCCCCGGAUAGCAUGAUACGCGGGUUCGGUUCCCUCCUGAGGCC